rnacentral:rRNA from 1 species
UACGUAGGGGGCAAGCGUUGUCCGGAAUCAUUGGGCGUAAAGAGCGUGUAGGCGGCUCGGUAAGUCCGCUGUGAAAGUCCAGGGCUCAACCCUGGAAUGCCGGUGGAAACUGUCGAGCUAGAGUCCGGAAGAGGCGAGUGGAAUUCCUGGUGUAGCGGUGAAAUGCGCAGAUAUCAGGAGGAACACCAAUGGCGAAGGCAGCUCGCUGGGACGGUACUGACGCUGAGACGCGAAAGCGUGGGGAGCAACAGG